rnacentral:antisense_RNA from 1 species
UGUGGGAGCUGGCUUGCCAGCGAUGCGAUUUCACAUUCGACAUUAUCGUCGGCUGACACUCCGCCAUCGCUGGCAAGCCAGCUCCCACA